CUGGUCAUCCAUUAGAUUCAAGGUAACAAUGUUGGCUAAACUGUACAGAAAGUAGAAGAGCUUUUCUUACACCUUACUAUGAAAGCCGAGUAAAUGUUUUGAAAUUCGACACUUUAUUUAUUUCAAAAAUUAUUCAGGUACUGAACAAUUUGAGUAUAUUAAUCAGAAUAUCAAUAAAAUCCAUCUAUCAUUUUGUAAAUGUUUUCUUGGAACCAAGAAAACCUCAUCAAAUAUAGGAGCGAGAUUGGAACUAGGAAGACUUCCAGUUGAAAAUUUAUUACAAC
rnacentral:lncRNA from 1 species